CUAACUUCUUUAAGGCAUGGCGCUCUGUAUUUUUCUGUCAUUGGCCAUUGGCAAAUUAGUCCGUAAGGCAGUGUUUGGGUAGGAGAUUUUGAGGUGGGAGAUGACAAUUAACAGAGAUUUUAGAAUCCCACGUGAUAAGUGCCUUGUUUGGCAAAGAAACAAGAAGGAAUUUGAAAGAACCGGGACUUUACGGAGGAUAUAUAUUAAGGCAAAUCCCUCCUCUAAGUUACACCUGAAGAGGUGUAACUUUGAAAUUGAAAUUCCCAAGAACAACCACGACGCGUCGAUUUCUCGCGAUUUCUUCUAGUUCCAUCGCUGAUCUCCAGUUAGACAUUAUUCUGAGAAAAUACACUCCAUUAGUCUUGAUCAAUCUAUGUUGCCCACACCAAUCGGCAUUCCAUAUCGAUGAUGGUUGGAUGGGUGAUGCCAUUACAUCUAGCUAUUUAAGGCCAAAGAACAGAUGUAGUGAGGCUUUUGUUGAUUAAACGAUCGAUGUUGCUGGAAUCUGGUGUGUAAUCUUCAGCAUGAUUGCAUAUGCUUCCCCUCUUUCAGCUAUGGGUAAGACUUUUAAGACUACUUACGAAAUGAGACUUGGCAGACCCCUCGACUUACUCUAGGAUUGGAUAUGAUUUUUGAAUCGGCCAUGGAAAGGAACCACAUUCACGACCUUGUAAGUUGCCGCCCCAAAUUAAAACCGAAGAAAUCGCAAAAAGAAACGAGCCAAGGACCUCAAUCGAGGUUCAAAAGAUCUAAGGAUCAAAGGUUGCAAGACGAGUACACGACAUACCCUUCAAGCUUGGAAUGGAGAGAAACUGAGAAUUUUGCAUGCUAGAUCGCCAACAAAAGACUGUGUGGUCACGACAUCAAUUUUGUUGUAGUUGCAUUUUUCAAAUUUCUAGUGUUUUUCUUUGUUUUCCAUUUAAUCGAAGUUUUGGAAUCAAUAUUUCAUUCAUUAAUGCUCCCUUUAUUA